GCUCCCUUCAGCAGCACAUACAAAAAGCAGAACCAUACAGAGGAGAUUAGCAGGGCCCCUGCAGUACGAUGACAUGCAAAUUUGUGAAGUGUUCCAUAUUUUG